rnacentral:lncRNA from 1 species
CUGUGCGCUGCUCUUGUGGGCUGUGGUGUCUGGAGUUAUGUUCUUUGGAUAGAGUGGUGUGGGGACCACAGGUGACCUUUCUGUCUUCCUCUCUCCUGAGGGUCCCAGCAGAGCACUGGUGUGAGUAUCUUGGGGAGGUUUGAUCUUUAACUGACAAGGGGAAUGUGCUGGUGUGGGAGGAGGAGUUGUUCUGGUUUUGAUUACUUGUGCUGAGUCUGUGUUCCAGAGGUUCCCUAUGAGAAGCAGUGGUAUUGCCAAUGAGGUGAUGUGAGGGUGUGGUAGUGAGGGUUGUGGUAGGCUCCAGUUGUUCUCUUAGAGUGUGGAUUCUGGUGUCUCUGUGUUGUAGUAAUUCUAUGACUGCUGACAAGUCCCUUUGUAGCUCCUCCCUGAUGUCAGCUACCUCUCUCCUCAUGAUGCUCUCGACCAUUGACAGUUUCUCUCUUAGCUCCUCCUUAUCCUGCCUCAGAACCACAAUGAAAAUGUAAAGGUAGAGAACACACAGAAGGCUGUUGUAUAAGAGAGGGAGAAGUGUCUAUCCAUGUAUACGGCUGCCCCACGAUGAGGACAACGAAACCGGGCUCAAGGAAUGAACAGUUAAGCCCAUGUCCUGGAUCUCCCAUCAUAAUAACCAAGGAGCAACAUUUUGGAGCAAACUUUAUUAGUCAAGGAAGAAGCACACAAACGAAUAACACAGUUCCUUGGCUGAGAUGGGAGAACCUGCCAGAAGAACAACAGUCUCUACAGCACUUCACCAAUCUGGGCUUUAUGGGAGAGUGGCCAGACGGAGGCCACUCCUGAGAAAAAGGCACAUAACAUCAUGCCUGGAGUUGGCAAAAAUUGCACAUGAAUGACUCUGAGAGCAUAAGGCAAAACAUUUGGAGACUCUCACAAACACGAUCGAUGAAGAACACCAUCGUAAUCGUGAGAGUCUCCCCUUUCCAUAGAAUGGUCAAAAGAUUUUGUACGUCAAACCGUUCGGGAGCUACAGAAGUUUGUGUGAGAAGAUUUUCAGGAUGUCUCAUGGUUUGUCAAACAUCGCUCUAGCUCUGCCACCUUUCACCACAGAUGCAGAGGUGUGACAUCAGUGGUUAUGGAGGAAUGAGAAGCAUCCAGUGGAAUAAAAAUGUUAUCUCUAGUUUAAAACUGACGGAUUUUAAUUGGGAUUUUUGUUUUUAUUUUACUUCGAUUCACGUACUGGUGU